UACAAGCUGCGUUUAGAUUCGUGAAAAAGUGGUACCGGAAUGUCUUCUCCGACUCUUCUCAAUCGAACACGUAGGCGAGUCAAGAUUGGUGGUUUUCCAAUCCCCCUUUUUGUUUUUAGUUCUUUGGUUUCGAUCGGGAUAACCAUGCCUCGCAGUGGUAGGAGGCCCACGUCUCCUAUGUCGUCGGCCGUGGAGUGCUCGUCGCGGCCACAGAAGAAGUGAUGUUUUGGCUUUGUAACACGACAGAGAGAAUAUGAAAUAAGGAUAUGAUGUUUCCGAGGAAGCAACCGGAGCCCCGUGAGGCGGGCAUCGGGCUCUUCUCCGCGGCCGCCUUCUCGACCACAGGCUCCGCCGAUCUGAUCGGCAACCACCCCGAUGUCGUCGUCGCCAAUGAAUCUGACUAUGCCUCCGAUGACGCGCCCAUGGGUCCAGGGCCGCCUUCUCGACCACAGGCUCCGCCGAUCUGAUCGGCAACCACCCCGAUGUCGUCGUCGCCAAUGAAUCUGACUAUGCCUCCGAUGACGCGCCCAUGGGUCCAGGGCCGCCUUCUCGACCACAGGCUCCGCCGAUCUGAUCGGCAACCACCCCGAUGUCGUCGUCGCCAAUGCAUCUGACCAUGCCUCCGAUGACGCGCCCAUGGGUCCAGGGCCGCCUUCUCGACCACAGGCUCCGCCGAUCUGAUCGGCAACCACCCCGAUGUCGUCGUCGCCAAUGCAUCUGACCAUGCCUCCGAUGACGCGCCCAUGGGUCCAGGGCCACCUUCUCGACCACAGGCUCCGCCGAUCUGAUGGGCAACCACCCCGAUGCCGUCUGCCUCCGAUGACGCGCCCAUGGGUCCAGGGCCGCCUUCUCGACCACAGGCUCCGCCGAUCUGAUGGGCAACCACCCCGAUGCCGUCGUCGCCAAUGCAUCUGACUAUGCCUCCGAUGACGCACCCAUGGGUCCAGCUCACCCAUUUGCCUCGAGAAAGGUAGAUCAACAUCAGACUCUACACCAUCUUCCUGCACAUCUCCCCCAUCACCCUGAUAUAUCGAAGGAGUAAUUGGGUCACAAUGUGCUAAUCCUUCUGCAGAAGUCUUGGUCGAUGUCUUCUUCUUCUUCAAAUCUUCAAAGGUUUGAUCCUCAAAUAAGACUACAUCUCGGCUUCUGAAUACCUUCUGCUUUUCUA